rnacentral:rRNA from 1 species
AAUGAACGCUGGCGGCGCGCCUAAUACAUGCAAGUCGAGCGAGAAGACGUAGCAAUACGUUUGUAAAGCGGCGAACGGGUGAGGAAUACAUGGGUAACCUACCCUAGAGUGGGGAAUAACUAGCCGAAAGGUUAGCUAAUACCGCGUACGCUCCUUGGACUUCGGUUCAGGGAGGAAAGCGAUACCGUGGGUAUCGCGCUCUUGGAUGGGCUCAUGUCCUAUCAGCUUGUUGGUGAGGAACGGCUCACCAAGGCUUCGACGGGUAGCUGGUCUGAGAGGACGAUCAGCCACACUGGCACUGCGACACGGGCCAGACUCCUACGGGAGGCAGCAGUAAGGAAUAUUGCGCAAUGGGCGAAAGCCUGACGCAGCGACGCCGCGUGGGGGA